rnacentral:tRNA from 1 species
UGAUAAAUAGUUUAAAUAAAACGUAAAAUUGUCAUUUUUACAAUAUCUGUAAGAUUUUAUCAU